UACGUAGGUGGCAAGCGUUGUCCGGAUUUAUUGGGCGUAAAGCGAGCGCAGGCGGUCUUUUAAGUCUGAUGUGAAAGCCCCCGGCUUAACCGGGGAGGGUCAUUGGAAACUGGGAGACUUGAGUGCAGAAGAGGAAAGCGGAAUUCCAUGUGUAGCGGUGAAAUGCGUAGAGAUUAGGAAGAAUACCAGUGGCGAAGGCGACUUUCUGGACUGUAACUGACACUGAGGCUCGAAAGCGUGGGGAGCAAACAGGAUUAGAUACCCUGGUAGUCCACGCCGUAAACGAUGAGUGCUAAGUGUUGGAGGGUUUCCGCCCUUCAGUGCUGCAGCAAACGCAUUAAGCACUCCGCCUGGGGAGUACGACCGCAAGGUUGAA
rnacentral:rRNA from 1 species